UGCCAGCAGCCGCGGUAAUACGGAGGGUGCAAGCGUUGUCCGGAUUUAUUGGGUUUAAAGGGUGCGUAGGCGGUCAAUUAAGUCAGUGGUGAAAUCCUAUAGCUUAACUAUAGAACUGCCAUUGAUACUGGUUGACUUGAGUACAGACGAGGUAGGCGGAAUUUAUGGUGUAGCGGUGAAAUGCAUAGAUACCAUAAAGAACACCGAUAGCGAAGGCAGCUUACUGGACUGUAACUGACGCUGAGGCACGAAAGCAUGGGUAGCGAACAGGAUUAGAUA
rnacentral:rRNA from 1 species